rnacentral:lncRNA from 10 species
AGUCCCCAAGGAUGAGUGCUGAAGAUCCAUAGCCAUGGCAGGGCAGGGCCUAGGUACUGAAGGAAGAUCCCACUCAGAGUUCAGUUCCACCCACUGCAAAACGCCCUCCGAGGACCCUCACUAGACCAGUUCCUCCAAGUGCGGUCCGCAGGCUGCCAUCAGCGGGAUCACGGGGUGAGGAAGGGGCUGUUUAAAACACGGGUUCUUGGCCCCAUCUGCAGACCCCCAGAAUCUAACCCUCUCAGGGAGAGUCCUGGAAAUCUGUGUAUCUAGAAGCACUUUCUUCCCCAGGCUGGCCAGCUCAGAAAUGUCUAAAAACUUUUCUCGAUACCAAUCCUGGUCUCAUUUAUUAUCCUUCUCAUGAAAAUGAUUUGCUUCCUUUCAGCCUUGUAUGACCUCUGAAAAUAUGACCUGAAGCAGAUGGAUGCACUCACAUAAGAAACAUCACCUGUGGCCUUCAUCGGUAAGCAUGGAUUGCUGUUUUCACUCAGGGGCUUUGAAGGAAGACACCUUUGAUCAUUGGGCUGCCUCUACUUUUCGCUGAGUUGUCACUAUUAAAUGCCCUUCCCUGGCUUUGCCUUCUCUCUUCUCCACCAGAAAAUGGGCCUGCUGCUUGAAGAAGUUGGGCUCUUGGAGUUCUCUAGCACAGGGGCCAUGAAAAUCAAUGACUUCCUUGUUUGCUGACGGAGCAGAGGUAGAAUCUCUUGGUGUUUCCACGGAGAAAACACUGACCAUGAAGAGCCAAGAAAGAUGACAUGAUGAAGCCAUCAGGGGAAGCACCAAACAUCCUCAACUCUGCUCACCCAUGGUUUUCUCCCGCCCUCCCAGAGCUCCUCCUGCUGAUGGGCCCCCGACAUGAAACUGGCACUCAGAAUGAAGAAUGCCUUUUCCAGCCUCCCUCGCUGGUGGAGUCUCCGUGUUCCAGCCAAUGAAAGGAGGAAGCCUGGACAGCCUGCAGUUGAGGGGACCUGCACAAGCUCACAGGACUCUUCAUCACCAUGACACCACGCUCACCGCAAAAUAAAAAUGAUCAAA